GCGAGGUGGGGGGCAACCGGAGGUGUCCUGCAGAAGCCUGAAAGUCCCUCAGGCAGGAACAGGUCUGGCUGAAGAGGGAGAGUCAGACUCUCAGGUUGCCGGGGAGAGGACUUCCCAGGUGAAAGUGAAUCAUGGGAGGAGAGGCAGGCCACUUACCAUCGGGCUUCUGGCCCGAAUAGGUGGAAGAAUAAAACAUGCUUUCGGUGAAAGCAGUCCUCAUCCGAAGAGAACCCAGUGGUUUCAAAGGACAAGAUCUGCUGUGGGCAUUUCUCUGAACGAGUAAGACAGCGAAGGUGCUAAUGGAAUACCAUGAGGAGCAGUCUGCCCCAGAUCUCCAAGAGACAACAUCUUGAGCGCAUAUGUGAUGUUGGGUUCUGUAUUGACAAACCCAAGAACUCCAGCGCAAAAUAACCGAAGUUCCCCAAGUUAAAAAUGAAAGUAAGACCAUCAAAAUUAGCAUUCUUGUUGCAUCAUCCCAACAACUUCACAAACAGCCACUAAACUAGACAGCGGCA